rnacentral:rRNA from 1 species
CUUUUUUAGGAUAUUUGACGGUACCCUGUGAAUAAGCACCGGCUAACUCCGUGCCAGCAGCCGCGGUAAUACGGAGGGUGCAAGCGUUAUCCGGAUUCACUGGGUUUAAAGGGUGCGUAGGCGGGUAUGUAAGUCAGUGGUGAAAUACCGGAGCUUAACUUCGGAACUGCCAUUGAUACUAUAUAUCUUGAAUAUUGUGGAGGUAAGCGGAAUAUGUCAUGUAGCGGUGAAAUGCUUAGAGAUGACAUAGAACACCGAUUGCGAAGGCAGCUUGCUACGCAAAUAUUGACGCUGAGGCACGAAAGCGUGGGGAUCAAACAGGAUUAGAUACCCUGGUAGUCAAGGGCG